rnacentral:lncRNA from 1 species
UAUGGUGAAUCUUCGUCAUGAGAACGUGCUGCUCCUGCUGGGGGUCACUGAGAACCUCGAGUGGGACUACGUGUACGGGCCGGCUCUGGUGACAGGAUUCAUGGAGAACGGCUCCCUCUCAGGGCUGCUGCAACCUUCAUGCCCUCGGCCCUGGCCUCUCCUCUGUCGCCUGCUAGAGGAAGUGGUGCUGGGGAUGUGCUACCUACACAGCUUGAACCCUUCGCUACUGCACCGGGACCUCAAGCCCUCCAAUGUUCUGCUGGAUCCAGAGCUCCACGCCAAGUUUUGGGGUCCUCGUGUGGACAGUGCUGGCUGGAAGAGAAGCUGAGGGUAAGACUCUAAAUGGACUCUUAGCUCAGGUGCCCGAAAGCAUCUAAAACCCCUAGAGCCCUCCCUCCCUGACCUACUAAGACUGCCCUCUUCCCACCUCGCCUCUUGCCUGGAUGGCUCUCCCUUCUUCUGUCCGUGAUAGAAUGGGGUGUCUCCUCAUUUCAUGAAUUCUUUUGUUACCCCCGACUCCAGUGGUAGACAAGACCUCACUAAUUCGUGGAGCAGUGUGUAACAGGCAGAGGCGACCUCCAUUGACAGAGCUGCCUCCGGACAGCCCUGAGACUCCUGGCUUAGAAGGACUGAAGGAGUUAAUGACGCAUUGCUGGAGUUCUGAGCCUAAAGACAGGCCAUCCUUCCAAGACUGUGAAUCAAAAACCAAUAAUGUUUACAUCCUGGUACAGGACAAGGUAGAUGCUGCU